rnacentral:rRNA from 1 species
UGGGGAAUAUUGCACAAUGGGCGCAAGCCUGAUGCAGCCAUGCCGCGUGUAUGAAGAAGGCCUUCGGGUUGUAAAGUACUUUCAGCGGGGAGGAAGGCGAUAAGGUUAAUAACCUUGUCGAUUGACGUUACCCGCAGAAGAAGCACCGGCUAACUCCGUGCCAGCAGCCGCGGUAAUACGGAGGGUGCAAGCGUUAAUCGGAAUUACUGGGCGUAAAGCGCACGCAGGCGGUCUGUCAAGUCGGAUGUGAAAUCCCCGGGCUCAACCUGGGAUCUGCAUUCGAAACUGGCAGGCUAGAGUCUUGUAGAGGGGGGUAGAAUUCCAGGUGUAGCGGUGAAAUGCGUAGAGAUCUGGAGGAAUACCGGUGGCGAAGGCGGCCCCCUGGACAAAGACUGACGCUCAGGUGCGAAAGCGUGGGGAGCAAACA